rnacentral:rRNA from 1 species
CUACGGGUGGCACCAGUAGGGAAUAUUGGACAAUGGGCGAAAGCCUGAUCCAGCAACACCGCGUGCACGAUGACGGCCUUCGGGUUGUAAAGUGCUUUUAGAGGAGAUGAGAAAGGACAGUAUCCUCUGAAUAAGCCUCGGCGAACUACGUGCCAGCAGCCGCGGUAAAACGUAUGAGGCAAGCGUUGUCCGGAUUUAUUGGGCGUAAAGCGCGUGCAGGCGGUCUAGCAAGUUGGAUGUGAAAGCUCCUGGCUUAACUGGGAGAGGUCGUUCAAUACUGUUAGACUAGAGAAUAGGAGAGGGAGGUGGAAUUCCGGGUGUAGUGGUGAAAUGCGUAGAUAUCCGGAGGAACACCAGUGGCGAAAGCGGCCUCCUGGACUAUUUCUGACGCUAAGACGCGAAAGCUAGGGUAGCAAACGGGAUUAGAUACCCCGGUAGUC